UGAGUGCAUCUAACCUUCCAUAUGUCCCAACUUAAGCGUCAUGUUAGCCAGCAACCAGUUCAACCUGUACUACUAGCAAUGGAUUGGGAUGAGACCCUUCCAAAGGAGCCAGUCCGGAUUAUAGAUAGGAGAUUGGUAAAGAGGGGAAAUUAGGCAACGACCGAGGUAUUGAUCGAAUGGGCAAAUUUGUUUCUAGAGGAUGCUACCUGGGAGAAUUUGGCUGAUCUGCCACGUCGCUUCCCAACCUUCUAUCCUUUAGGUCAAAGAUCCUGUCGACAAUGGGAAUAGUUGUUACGUGCUCAUUUUACUAGUUGAUGUUAUUUCUUUCUAUUUUGAAUAAUACCAUGAGUUUGGAAACAAAUCAAAACACAUGAUUUGGUUGGUUCUGAUCUUGCUGCCUGUAAAUACGUGGGUAGUUUUGAUUUUUAGGGAUUGUAACAGCUACAAGACUUUAUUAUAUAAGCAGGGAGGGGAGUUGACGAGGACACAGUGAAAAUAAAUAAGUUCUUCUCUUUUAUUCGCAAAUUAUCAUAUUUAUCUUUUCUUUGUCAUACUUCUUCCCUAUUUCUUUCUUUCUUCUUCUUGUCUACUAUUAUUUUCUACUGUAAGUUGCUGCAAAUUCUUAAGUAAAAUUCAACCCAGUUCCAACAAUUAACAUAUCAACAAAGUGAUGGUUGUAACAAAAGAUGAAUCAGUCAGUGCUGCGUUGAUAGAAGAAAGUAAAGAGAGGAUUAAGAAAUUUGACUACGUAAGAUUUAGAUUCGUACCUCGAACAGCAAAUCGAGCUGUACACAAAAUGGCUCAAGACUCACCGACGUUCUGGGUUGAAGAAGCACCAGAAAAAGUCGUAAGAAUAGUAGAUUUGGAUAGAGGGAGUAUGAGUAGAGAAGAAGUGUUAAAUUUUUCUGAGUAAAAUGACAAAGAUAUAAGAACGAAGUGCGAUUAAAACUCAAAGUUACAGAAGAGAAGAAUCAGAGCAAGAGUUCAAGAAAUAACUUCACUAGAAAUGGGGUAGAUUCACUCCUUAUUCAAAUGCUGAUGAAGAGAGGAAAGGGGGAAAGAAUGAGGCUAACGGCUUGUUUACCCACCGGUUUUUUUGUUUGAUUGUUAUGUUCUGCUUUUUAGGAUUUCUAAAGGGUUUUCUUUUGUGUUUUUAGGAGUUACUCUUGUAAAGAGUUUUUUAUUAGGAUUAGAGGACAAGGGCCUUAAAUGGCUUUUAACAGACCGUAGUAGAUGGUUUAAUGAGUUUUUCCUUCUUCUAAUUAAUGUAUCAGUAGAAAUUAAGUUAAUAAAAAUUAAAACUCAAUUUUACUAAG
rnacentral:lncRNA from 1 species